rnacentral:rRNA from 1 species
GACAGAGGCCCCAAGCGUUAGGCGGAAUCACUGGGCUUAAAGCGUGUGUAGGCGGACGCCUAAGUGUCUUGUGAAAUCCCACGGCUCACCCGUGGAACUGCUGGGCAUACUGGCGAUCUUGGGCCAACUAGGGGCAGCCGGAACAAGCGGUGGAGCGGUGAAAUGCGUAGAUAUCGCUUGGAACGCCGAAGGUGAAAACAGGCUGCUGGGGUUGCGCCGACGCUGAGACACGAAAGCCAGGGGAGCAAACGGG